rnacentral:lncRNA from 1 species
UGGAGCACCAGCCCUUCCUGCCCGGGCCCGGGCCCUUCCUGGCUGAGCUCGAGAAGUCCACCCAGACCAUCCUGGGCCAGCAGCGGGCCUCCCUCCCACAGGCGGCCACCUUCGGGGAGCUCAGCGGACCCCUGAAGCCUGGCUCGCCCUACCGGCCCCCAGUGCCACGGGCCCCCGACCCUGCCUACAUCUAUGAUGAGUUCCUGCAGCAGCGCCGGAGGCUGGUCAGCAAGCUGGACCUGGAGGAGCGCAGGCGGCGGGAGGCCCAGGAGAAAGGGUACUACUACGACCUCGAUGACUCUUACGACGAGAGCGAUGAGGAGGAGGUCAGGGCCCACCUCCGUUGCGUGGCCGAGCAGCCGCCCCUCAAACUGGACACGUCCUCUGAGGUACUGGGCUCUCCUCCCCACGGACAUGCUCUGGGCUGGGCUCUCGUUCCUAGCGUCCACACCCUGCAGUCCACCCCACUGUUGCUAGGUUCCUCCGAAGUCCUGGCGGGUUCGCCCCAUGAAGCUCUUCUCCCACCAGGCGCAGCCAGCUACGGCCCACACUUCGAGGACCCCAGGAGGGGACCCCGGGACAGUGCAAGCAUACCACUGCCAGUGGCUUCAAACUCAUUUGUUUUCUUUCCCAAUCUAGAAGCUAGAGU